UUGUGGUGUCCGGUGCGCUCCUGAAGGCCCUUGAAAAUCCGAGGGAAAGAUUGAUUUUCACGUCCGUUCGUACUCAUAACCGCAGCAGGUCUCCUAGGUGAGCAGCCUCUGGUCGAUAGAACAAUGUAGGUAAGG
rnacentral:rRNA from 1 species